rnacentral:lncRNA from 1 species
AUGUCUCUCCCUCUCAUCCCUCUCUCUCUCUCCUCCCUCUCUCUACUCUGUCUCUCCUCUCCUCUCUCAUUCCUCUCCUCUCUGUUUCUCCUCCCUCUCUCCUCUAUCAGUGUCUCUCCUCUCUAUGUCUCUCCUUUCUCUCUCAUCCCUCUCCCCUCUCUGUCUCUCCUCUCUCUGUGUGUCUCCUCCCUCUCUCCUCUAUCAGUGUCUCUCCUCUCUAUGUAUCUCCUUUCUCUCUCUCUGUCUGUCCGCUCUGUCUCUCCUCACUCUCCUCCCGCUCUCCUCUCUGUCUCUCCUCCCGCUCUCCUCUCUCUGUCUCUCAUCCCUCUCUCUGUCUCUCAUCCCUCUCUCCUCUCUCUGUCUCUGCCCACUCUCCUCUCUGUCUCUCCUCACUCUCAUCCCUCUCUCCUCCCUCUCAUCCUUCUCUCCUCCCGCUCUCCUCUCUCUGUCUCUCAUCCCUCUCUCCUCUCUCUGUCUCUCAUCCCUCUCUCCUCUCUCUGUCUCUCCCCACUCUGUCUCCUCACUCUCAUCCCUCUCUCCUCCCUCUCAUCCCUCUCUCCUCCCGCUCUCCUCUCUCUGUCUCUCAUCCCUCUCUCCGUCUCUCAUCCCUCUCUGUCUCUCCCCACUCUCCUCUCUGUCUCUCCUCCCACUCUCCUCUCUCUGUCUCUCCUCCCCCUCUCCUCUCUCUGUCUCUCAUCCCUCUCUAUGUCUCUCCUCUCUCUCUCAUCCCUCUCUCCUAUCUCUGUCUCUCAUCCCUCUCUAUGUCUCUCCUCUCUCUCUCAUCCCUCUCUCCUCUCUCUGUCUCUUAUCCCUAUGUCUCUCUCCUCCUUCUCUCCUCUCGGUCUCUCCUCUCUAUGUCUCUCCUCUCUCUCUCCUCUCUCUGUCUCUCAUCCCUAUGUCUCUCCUCUCUCUUUCCUCCAUCUCUCCUCUAUGUCUCUCCUCUCUCUCACAUCCCUCUCCUCGUCUCUCCUCCCUCUUCCUCUGUGUCUCUCCUCCCUCUGUCUCUCGUCCCUCUCUGUGUCUCUCCUCCCACUCGCCUCUCUCGCUCAUCCCUCCCUCUCUCUGUCUCCCCUCCCUCUCUGUGACUCUCCUCCAUCUUCCCUCUCUCCUCUCUCUCUCUGUCUCUCCUCCGUCUCUCUGUCUCUCCUCCAUCUCUCUGUCUCUCCUCCGUCUCUCCAUCUCUCUGUCUCUCCUCCGUCUCUCCGUCUCUCUGUCUCUCCUCCGUCUCUCCGUCUCUCUGUCUCUCCUCCGUCUCUCCAUCUCUCUGUCUCUCCUCCGUCUCUCCAUCUCUCUGUCUCUCCUCCGUCUCUCCGUCUCUCCUCCGUCUCUCCAUCUCUCCGUCUCUCCUCCGUCUCUCCAUCUCUCCGUCUCUCCUCCGUCUCUCCAUCUCUCCAUCUCUCCUCCGUCUCUCGGGAUCUGGGGGCCUCUAGCGGUGGCAUUUCUAAAGCAGAGAUCUAG